rnacentral:rRNA from 1 species
AUUGAACGCUGGCGGCAGGCCUAACACAUGCAAGUCGAGCGAGCGGCGGACGGGUGAGUAAUGUAUGGGGUUCUGCCCGAUAGAGGGGGAUAACUACUGGACACGGUAGCUAAUACCGCAUAUUAUUGGAUCGGCCGAUAUCGGAUUAGCUAGUUGGUGGGGUAAAGGCUCACCAAGGCAACGAUCCGUAGCUGGUUUGAGAGGACGACCAGCCAAACUGGGACUGAGACACGGCCCAGACUCCUACGGGAGGCAGCAGUGGGUAAUUUUGGACAAUGGGGGAAACCCUGAUCCAGCCAUCCCGCGUGUAUGAGAAGGCCUUCGGGUUGUAAAGUACUUUUGGCAGAGAAGCGGUAUCUGCAGAAUAAGAACCGGCUAACUCCGUGCCAGCAGCCGCGGUAAUUC